rnacentral:rRNA from 1 species
CCUACGGGGGGCAGCAGUGGGGAAUAUUGCACAAUGGGCGCAAGCCUGAUGCAGCCAUGCCGCGUGUGUGAAGAAGGCCUUCGGGUUGUAAAGCACUUUCAGCGGGGAGGAAGGCGUUAAGGUUAAUAACCUUGGCGAUUGACGUUACCCGCAGAAGAAGCACCGGCUAACUCCGUGCCAGCAGCCGCGGUAAUACGGAGGGUGCAAGCGUUAAUCGGAAUUACUGGGCGUAAAGCGCACGCAGGCGGUCUGUCAAGUCGGAUGUGAAAUCCCCGGGCUCAACCGGGGAACUGCAUUCGAAACUGGCAGGCUGGAGUCUUGUAGAGGGGGGUAGAAUUCCAGGUGUGCGGUGAAAUGCGUAGAGAUCUGGAGGAAUACCGGUGGCGAAGGCGGCCCCCUGGACAAAGACUGACGCUCAGGUGCGAAAGCGUGGGGAGCAAACAGGAUUAGAUACCCUAGUAGUC